AUCGCGGUGUAGAUCAGGCGAUCCAUGGUCUAGGCGGCCGCUGGUUACAGGUUGACGAUGGUCUGCAGGAUGGUGUCCUGCGCCUUGAUG
rnacentral:tRNA from 1 species